rnacentral:rRNA from 1 species
AGCGAACGCUGGCGGCAGGCCUAACACAUGCAAGUCGAACGGAUCCUUCGGGAUUAGUGGCGGACGGGUGAGUAACACGUGGGAACGUGCCCUUUGGUUCGGAACAACUCAGGGAAACUUGAGCUAAUACCGGAUGUGCCCUUCGGGGGAAAGAUUUAUCGCCAUUGGAGCGGCCCGCGUCUGAUUAGCUAGUUGGUGGGUAAAGGCCCACCAAGGCGACGAUCAGUAGCUGGUCUGAGAGGAUGAUCAGCCACAUUGGGACUGAGACACGGCCCAAACUCCUACGGGAGGCAGCAGUGGGGAAUCUUGCGCAAUGGGCGAAAGCCUGACGCAGCCAUGCCGCGUGAAUGAUGAAGGUCUUAGGAUUGUAAAAUUUUUUCACCGGGGACGAUAAUGACGGUACCCGGAGAAGAAGCCCCGGCUAACUUCGUGCCAGCCGCCGCGGUAACAC